UGUUGAAAUUCGAGUUAGGGUUUUACCUCAAUUUUCAUUUGAUUUCACUUCUUUUCUCUUCAUUUAGAUCCACUAAGUCAUUAACAUUGCUCAAAGAGACUGGAAAAUCUGAUAUUCAUUCUAAGGUAGACAAAAUGAAUGAAGGAGGACAAUUUGGAGAAGCACUGUUUUCAGCAAUAAUCUUACAUAUGAGGUAAGGCUCAAAGUUGCCAAAAUGGAAUCUGGAAAUAGAGAUACAUCAGCCUUAUGUCUAAAGUAAAUCAUAAUUGUUCUGAAAAUGAUUAACGCUGGGUGACAGCCAAUGUUCCUUUGAUAAAAUAGUACUUAGUCUGAUUCUACAAUUGAGCAGACAGGAAAUGGCUCACCUUUUGGUAAUGAAUUAACUCUUUCCUAUAGGACUUCAGUAAUUCCUAAACCUAAG
rnacentral:lncRNA from 1 species